GUGCUCGCUUUGGCAACACAUAUAUUAAAACUGAAACAAUACAGAGAAGACUAGUAUGGUCCCUACACAAGGAUGAUGUGCAAAUUCAUGAAGUGUUCCAUAUUUUA
ensembl:snRNA U6 U6 spliceosomal RNA